GACGAACCGUGCGAACGUUAUUCGGAAUCACUGGGCUUAAAGCGCGUGUAGGCGGCUGGGCACGUCGGUAGUUGAAAGCCCCCGGCUCAACCGGGGAAGUGGUGCCGAAACGACCCGUCUGGAGGGACGUAGGGGGACCUGGAACUUCCGGUGGAGCGGUGAAAUGCGUUGAGAUCGGAAGGAACGCCCGUGGCGAAAGCGAGGUCCUGGACGUCUACUGACGCUGAGACGCGAAAGCUAGGGGAGCAAACGGG
rnacentral:rRNA from 1 species